ACCUCCGUAGGUGACCUGCGGAGGGAUCAUUACACAAAUAUGAAGGCGGGCUGGAACCUCUCGGGGUUACAGCCUUGCUGAAUUAUUCACCCUUGUCUUUUGCGUACUUCUUGUUUCCUUGGUGGGUUCGCCCACCACUAGGACAAACAUAAACCUUUUGUAAUUGCAAUCAGCGUCAGUAACAAAUUAAUAAUUACAACUUUCAACAACGGAUCUCUUGGUUCUGGCAUCGAUGAAGAACGCAGCGAAAUGCGAUAAGUAGUGUGAAUUGCAGAAUUCAGUGAAUCAUCGAAUCUUUGAACGCACAUUGCGCCCUUUGGUAUUCCAAAGGGCAUGCCUGUUCGAGCGUCAUUUGUACCCUCAAGCUUUGCUUGGUGUUGGGCGUCUUGUCUCUAGCUUUGCUGGAGACUCGCCUUAAAGUAAUUGGCAGCCGGCCUACUGGUUUCGGAGCGCAGCACAAGUCGCACUCUCUAUCAGCAAAGGUCUAGCAUCCAUUAAGCCUUUUUUUCAACUUUUGACCUCGGAUCAGGUAGGGAUACCCGCUGAACUUAAGCAUAUCAAAAAGUGGGAGGAA
rnacentral:rRNA from 1 species